GCUCACUGCAACCUCUGCCUCCCGGGUUAAAGCGAUUCUCCUGCCUCAGUCUCCUGAGUAGCUGGGAUUACAGACAUGCGCCACUACGCCCAGCUAAUUUUUGGAUUUUUAGUAGAGACAGGGUUUUGCCAUGUGCCCAGGAUGGUCUCGAACUCCUGACCUCAGGUGAUCAGCCCGCCCCAGCCUCCCAAAGUGCUGGGAUGACAGGCCCUGAGCCACAAUGCCCGGCCCCCUGUCCUUAAGGAGCUUACAUUCUGGUGCGGGUGACACCGUGAAAUCAGUGUACGGGACAUCAGCUGGUAAUAAACGUCACGGAGGUCAGAACAGCUGUGUCCUCGGGUGACGUCACCUCCUCGGCUCUGCGCCCCGCCGUCCACAGGCGCGAAGCCGGAGCUGGGGUUGGCGACCGAGAACCUUCCUGCCUCCCCUCCCCAGCAAGGGGCACGUCCCACCAGGCCCGGACUGCCCGUCUGCCCCUGCAGGGCCCCUCGCUCUGGUGGCGGGCUCGGUGAGCUCUGCUGCCCGGUCUCGGGAGUCUGGGGGAGCGCGGCGUCGACCCCUGUGGAGGGAGGACUCGUGUUUCAAGGACAGAGCCUCAUUACCAUGCACGACCAGCCGCAGCUGAGGCCGCAGAGGCCUUUGGCAGGGGGGCCGGGCCGGCGGCAGGGACGGCGUUGGCGGUGGUGGACGGGAGUGGGGGUCUGUCCUGAACAGGUGGGGGUGGUCCCUGUGCUGGCCCCCGCCAUGCGAUCGCACCCCAGGACUCUCCUCCUCUUCCUAAGCCCCAGCAUGUGCCUGGUGCCGCGCGGGUGCUGGAGGCACAGCGGCUUCCACGCAGACGCCCGCAGCACCACAGCCUGUGCACGGCGCAUCCACGCCCUGUUACAAAUGUUCCAUUCAACGCCUUCUAGCACAUUCACAGAUCGUCCGCCCGCACCUCUAGUUCCAGAACAUUCCAUCACCCCCAAAAGGAAGCCCCGUCCCCUUCAGCAGUCACUCCCAGCCCCUCCCCAGCCCGGACCCCCACCCAUCUGCUUCCUGUCUCUGCGAAUUGGCCCGUCUGGACAUCUCGCAUCAAUGCAAUCGGACUGGCUGUGGCCCCCAGGGACUGGCGUCUUUCCCCCAGCGUCAAGGUGGGGGCACAAACAGGCAAUGGGGAGCCAUGGGAGGAUAUGGAGCAAGAGCAUGGCGAGAUCUGGGUUGCAGUUGGAAGGCGCGUCCAGCUCUGCGUGGUCCGACCCCAGGUCGCCCUGCCUCACCCAAACCUGGAAAGUCUUGACUCUCGGCUGCACCUCCAUCUCCAGAGAGCAGGGCACUAUUAUCUCCCUCUCCACCCGGUUACCCACACGCAGAGCUGUGGCCAAUGAUGGAGCAUGGGGAGGCUGAACUGGACACCAGGUGCUGAAUCAAUGGCCCCUUGUCCACUCCAGAGCCAGGACAAGAACUCACGGGUCCUCACCUGAAUCGGCCACUGACUGCCUUGGGCAGAGACAUCGAAGUCUCUGAGCCUCAGUUUCCUCUUCUGCAAAAGGGAACUGCAGGGUUCCCAGUCACUUCCCUGGGCUGAGCGAGUGAGAAGUCAGGCAAGGAGGUUCCUUCCGGGGAAGUCUCCAUUGGGUGCCGGCUGGGGUCAGGAGCCCAGAGUCCUAGGCCCUGGUUUGCUCCUGGCCAUGUGUUCACCUCAUUCAUUCAUUCAACAAACAUUCAUUCAACAAGCAUUCAUUCAUUCAUUCAACAAGCACUUAAAAACAAUGCCUGUGUGCCAGGCACUGGUUUUAAGAGAAACAGCA